GUUUUCAAUCUUUGCACAAGAACAAGCGCGCGGAAGAGGCGGAUAUGCGGGCUGCACCCAGAGGAAAAGGCAAUCGGGAGUCGUAGGAGAGCUCCUCAAAUUGGGCCUCUCUCUCUCUUUCUGAGGACUCACAGAUGCUGGAAAGGAUGCUCAAGUCAAGCAUGAUUGAAGUUCUGCAUCAGAGUUUGUAAAACCAGGGCUCGCUCAGCUGCCUGGAGGUCACACCUACACAGCCAGACACCGAACCUGUUGGAUCAACACUGCAGUCCCUGCUAUUCCUACUGCUGCUGUGGUUGCUGCUGAGGUCCUAAGGGCACAGCCAAAGCCUGGGGGUUAGUGUGUAGCCAGGCUGAGGAGGAAGAUGAGACUGUAUUACUUCACUGGAUGGACAACAAGGACAGAAUGCAAAAUGCUUUCCAUGCCUGCCCACAGCCUUUACACUUCCAGACCUGUAUUGCUCCAAAUUUAGGGAUAAACUUUUAUUGUAAGAGCACCUUUAUAUCAGUAUAAACAUGUCCACAUUAGGGGGUUGUACUUUUACAUCAGUUUUGGAACUGAAACUUCUCUAGGGAUUCAGGAAUUGUCUGUCAACCAGCCCUCACUGCUUUUAGAUAGGGAGGAUUUCUAAACAAAGGUUUGUCCAAAUCAAACCAAUGGGUCUGGAACCCUAAGCCUUUGAAAUACUUGUAGUAGAUUGUGAGCUGAAUGUCACAACUUGGCCUCAGUUGCUAUUAGAGAGGGGCAAAUUAUGAUCUUUCCCCAUUUCUCCUUAUUGAGUAACAAAUACCAUUUAACAGGAAAAAAAGUGAAUUUUAAUGGUAGCAGAAUUUUAUAAGCAAGAUCUGCUAUAAUGCACCCAAUGUUAACUACUACUCGGCUGUUAGUGAAAAAAAUAAACUCGUAGCAUAAGAGCUCUAAAAAAAGGAUUAAGUAUUAGUUGUAACAUUUUAAAGAUCCCUGUGCAAUCAUUGACCAAAUGGACUUUGCAAAGGAGCACAGAGAUGGCUGUCUCCUGACAGCAUGAAAACAUGAAGAGUUCCUGGACAUCUGCUUCACUGCCUUAGCCUAGGGGCUGGAAGAGUAGCUACAGCUGCUCUGACUAUUUUUCUCAAAAUACCCUGUGAAACAUUUAAUAAUGGGUAUGCAAAUGUGAUAGCAGCAGGGUGGGUUUAUUGUGCAGUGACUAAUCUCUGUCACAGCAUGAUUCUGAGCGUGAACUCUCCAGAAAUGUCCUGAAGAGGCUGUGGGCACAUAUGAUGUGAAGUGAUUCCUAAUACAGAGUUCUUAACUGGAUCCUUUGUCAGGUCCUUUUAAUUCAAAAUAGUUUCAGCUUUAUAAAUGUAGGUAUUCUGAUCCUCAUCUUAUAUAGGUGGCCACAGCUACCUAAAAUCAGUGAAUCUACACCCAUUUUCCACAGCUGAUGAUCUGGCCAAAAGAGUCAGAUUCGGCACUCACUAAAAACAGAUUUGUCUUAAGGAAACUUUUCUACUUGUACAUUUGAGUGGUCCCAAGGUGAAUAAAGUGUUUUAAAUCAAUAGGAGUAUUUCUAAGGGAAAAAAAAUCAGCAGCCAGACUCCAUUUCCCAGCAGCCCCAACUCCUGGCUGAUCUCCAUGAGUACAGGGCUGUGACAGCACAGACCCAUGACAGUGCGGAGCCAGGCCAGCCGGGGCAGAGCUCUGGUUUUGCAGCCCUACGCUGUCAUGCCCCUGCAGUCCUGGGGUCUGUAUGGAGACUGCCUGGGAGCCAGGGCUGCAGGGAAAUGGAGUCCACCAGAGGCCUAAUCUGGCCCAUGGGCCAGACUUUGACGACCCCUGUACAUCUGCUUACAUGCCUGAGUGUGAUCCUAAUCGACUGCGCUCAAGUCUCUAAAAAAACGUAUUAAUAAGCCUACUUUUGUAACAUACUGUCAUCUGACCCUUACAACUGACUCACAAAAAGCAGCUAGUAGGAGGUGGACACACCUACUUUUUACCUUAAUUGUUUUUCAAGCCCUUGAGCAAGGUGGAAUACAGUCUUGCUUAGGUGCUUAAAAUCCACUACAGGCAGUCCUCGACUUACAACCUUUCGAGUGACAGUGUUUCGCACUUACAACAUUUAUAAAUUGACACCCUCUUUCAACUUUCUGAUGCCAGUUUUGACUUUACAAUGCUUGUUCUGACAUGAUGCCAUGCCAGUGAAUAAGUUCACCGCAUCGCCCAUCUCCCUGGAGAACAUCUGACCAACCGUCCUUGCAUACUUUCUUUAAGAAAGCAGACAAAACUCCAGAAAAACCUGCAGCCAAGACUCCUGAGAAGACUCCAGCCAAAAGCCCUUCAAAAAGUCCAACCAAGAGCCCUUCAAAAAAUCUAGCAAAGUCACCUCAAAGAAGUCCUUCCAAAUCAAUAUGAGUGCUAUUUACAAUAUAAAUACAUUAAUGUAGCUAUAUUACUCAUCUAUAAUUGAUUAAGUACAAAAUUCUGGGUUAUUUUUGGUGAAAAUAGGGUAUCGGGCCUUGGUUCAGGAACCAAUCCCCCAUUUAUAAUGUUGUUUCCUAGGGGAAAAUUGGUUCUGAGUUAUAAUGUUUCAACUUAUGAUGCAGUUUUCAGGAACUAAUUGUGUCAUAAGUCCAAGGACUGCCUGUAUUAAGCAUCUAAGGCCAUGUGUAGAUGAAAUGAAGGGCGUGUGCGCAUGACACUUUAAAGCGGGCGAAAUGCUUUUGCACCGCGUUAAUGGUGUCGGUGUUUGCAUGCCUCAGUGGCGUAUUGUGCAUUAAUUCCAGCCACUGUAGGAAAUUUGGCAGCGUAAUGCACCUUAAAUGACUUGGGGCGCAGCAAACUAAAACUCCUCUGAAGAGUUUUAGUUUGUUUUAGUUUGCUGCCCUUACAGCCAUGGAGCGAAGCACUGGGCUUCGCGCAGGUCCACGGCUCUUCAGGAAGCCCUGCAGGCAUGCUGGCAGCAUCCUGGGAGAGCAGCUCUGCCCAAAAAAAGCAGUGAGCCUGAUCUUUUUUUUUCCCCUUGGAGCCUGCCUGCCUGCCUGAGCUGUGUGGGGGCCCGGUGCUUCCCUCUGUGGCUGCGGUGCCCCCCGGGACUGCCCAAGCCAGGUGCCUGUGUGUGGGUGCCACCUGGGGGCAGGGAAAGCACCAGCCCCCCUUCCCCCUCCCCCCCUGCAGCCCAGGGACUGUUCUGCCUGCCAGCAGCUCACCCUCCCUUCCCCACCAGAGAGGUAGGUAAGUCAGCGGGGUGUGUGCAUGACACGGGAGUUUAAUUGUUCCUAAACUGAAGUGGUGUUUUUUAAAACCUGCCGCUUCAAUUUAGGGCCCCCAUUUUGUCUACACACACCCUAAGAGGCGGAGUAGGAUCUGGGCCUAAGAUUUUAUUCAUAAACACAACCACAAAGAACAGAUUUUUUUUCAAAAGACAACUUCAGUUGACAAUGUCUCCAACAAUGCCCCUAAGUAGAGAGAGAUUUUUUUCACCUUUUGGGAGAAUGGACUCACUUCUUUCUCCCAUUAGAUACAGUGAUAGAACUGAUCUAUGCCUGUUAUGGGCUUUGGCAUGUUACCUUAAAAACAUGAUAAAGGCCUUUAAAAUGAAAGCAGUCUUUGGUUAAGAAGUGCUAAACUAGCAUAAGUACCUUGUAAAUGUUUCAGUUAUGCCACUCCAGCUGAGGUUUAUCUUUGAUUUGUUUCACCCAGGCCAUUCUGGGAUAUUAUAUGCAUGCUCUGGGUCAAUAAAAUGUCUUAUUUUCAUUCCUCCAGCAUCCCAGGAUGCUCUGCAGGAAUGGAAUUCCAACCUUACAGACUGAUAUAGAUUGGCAGACUGUUUUGCUUUGUCUUUGAUAGAAUACAUUCCCUCCCAUAGUUCUCUGUUUUUCCCCUAAUAUAUUUUAGCAUAGCAAGCUACAAGCAAGACAAAGCCUUAAUUUUGCAGCAAUGCUCUAUCUGCUGUUAUCAGCAUAGCCAGCAAAAACCACUGAGGCUUGAGGCACAAUAAGAAUUUAACAUACAGGGAGAGCUCUUCAGUUUUUAUGGCAUACCAUCAACAGGGGGAGGACAGAAACCCACAGUGAGGUACAGAGCCAUGUUAAAAAGUGUGUAAUCAGUACUACACUCACACAACAGCUGCUGGUUAUUGUAGUUUCUACCCCAAAUUGGGAGAGCAGUUAGAGACAGCACCAUAUGUAACAGAACCUUCUCCUGGCUUAGGAGUCAGAAAGACUUAGCUUUUAUCUUCUAUAUGAACUAAUACAAUCCUCUUAUGUGGUUAUUCUCAUUCAGUUAAAAGUCAUUGGAGCUUAUUAAGGAGCCAUGACUAGCUGUUUUGGCUCAACACAUAUAAGCUGAGCAAAACACUACUUGGGAUAAAGUAAUCAAAUGGGUUCUUUUAAAAUGUUAAUAAAAAGGUGUUUUACUUUUAUUGACACUUGCAUUGGAAGUUACAUGUAAAAAGAAAUGGAGAAAGAAAAUUCAGCUACUGAGUUCCUGCUUGCUACCCUGGAUAGCAAGAAGUAGAGCCCUGGACAUUAUUACUGUAAGGACUGGGUUCUAGGUAGUCUAGGCCACUCAGGAAGAACAGGAGCUAGAAUCUAAGGUCCAGACCCAAGGAGGAAAUCCAGAGGCAAAGUCCAAGUUACAGACCAAGUCAGACUGGAUUACUAGAUUCACAGGGGAUUUCCAAAAUGUAAAAGGCCAGAAACAGAGCCAAGCAAGGCCAGAAAACCAGCAAGCACAGGCUUAUCACAGCAGUCCUAUUGACUGUCCUGCAGUCUACUGCCACAGGCAGGACUAAGUGGGGAGGCUGCUCCCCCAGCAGCCAAUCAGGAUGUCCAAACAGUGACCAGUUGGUUCAUUGGCUGAGGUAAGGCUGCCAGUCAGAGCCUUCGGGCUAAAUAGUUUUGGGUGGGCCUUGUGUUGGGGUCCCUGAUACUUAUUGUGGUGUCAGAAGAGAUGGUGCAGGGAGAGAAGGAAAUUAGGGAAAAAAGGAAAAGGACCAUGACAGGAAGACAUGGAAUACACCCAAAAAGAAACUGUUAAAGUUCAGAACGCAGGCUCAGGGAUCCCAAAAUGAUCUAGUCUUAGAUGACGUGCUGCCUCCUUUGUGGGUGGCACCAGGGCUCUCAGCCUUAUAGAGCUUGUAGCCUUGGGUCUAGUGACAGCUUCCUGGUGACCACCUAUAAUGUAACUCAGGGGGUCCAGUUAGGACAGCAGUCCUGCACACUGGCUUUUUGGGGGUAUAAAGAUAGCCAUUGUGGCAGCCGGUAGCUACUAGCCUGUGUGGAGCUGCCCCCCAGGACACAGAGCUGCCCUGUUCUGCCUCGGGUGGCCAAGGCUUGGUUCCUGGCGUCACUGAGCAGGUUCAAGGGCACAUUCAUGCUUGCUGCAGUCUGACUGUUGGCUGGGGCUAUCAGUGGGAAUCCAAAAGUAGCACUCUCCAGGUGGUUCGAGCUUUUUAAUAAAAUCAACCAGAAAGAGUAGAAAAGUUCUGCUAAUGGUUUUACAAAAAAUGAGAAAAUGAAAUUGCCAUGCCAGGCUGUCUAUAUUAAAUUAAAACAUGCUCUCAACACACAUUGCUCUCAUGAAAUAUAAUAAGGUAGCUCCAUCAACCUAUUUUAGCCUGAGGCUGUUGUUAGCUGCUACCAUAACUAGACAGCUUUUAUAAUGAGGUUCUAUCAAUGCCUUUUAUUAACACACUACUUCAAAUGUUUACAAUCAUCAUCUCUCCAUGAAAGGAGCCCAGUUUAUUUAGUAACCAGAUCAGAGUUGCAAUGCACAACUUGUUUACCAUAUACAAUACUGUCUUACCUUUUAAACCCAGGUAUGAAAUCCAUUGUACAAUGGAUUUCAUAAGAAUGAAAAAAUAAUACUUGCUUCUGAAACAUUCCGGACUUUUUUUUCUAAUUUUCUCUGGUCUGAGCAUCUUCUCUUAUGUAAGAAGAAAUACAUAUUAGCACUUUAAAAUGUCUUUGGUGAACACUAGUGUGUUUCUGGAGGUCAGGAAUCCUGGAUUCUGUUCCUGACUGCAGGAGGGGAGUGUGGGCUAAUGGCUGAGUGGUGGUCAGAUACAAGGUACCAAAAGUACACAAACUUUGGAUGUUUGGCUGAAGAGCCAGUAUGUCUGAGCAGCAAAGAGUUCAAGCUUUGAAAUUUAAGAUGGAGCUUUCAUUUCUAAAUCUGCUUCAAGUAACCUUGCGCAACCUCCAUUGACAUUUUUAUAGAAAGGGGAAUGCUGGCACUUGACAGUCUUCUCAGACUGAAAUAUAAGCCCUGGAUGUGAUUCUGUUCAGCGUGUCUUCAUAUACAGGUUACAGCAUAUUUGGGUGAAGAGUGUCUCUCUCUCGUGUCCAUACAUGAUUCAGUUCAAAUAUAAAAUGUUCUGCAAAAUCAAGAAUGCUCAGAACACUGAUCUUCUUGUUCCUCCUCCAAGCUGUGGGGGUGAGUGUUGUGCUGGCUCACUGAUGUUGCCUCCUCCUGCUUCUAAGCUUGUGUGGAAUAGAAGCAGUAGCUGGGGAUGAUAACAGGCAAUGGAGAGCAAUGGUAGAAUGGAAAGACUGGGCUUCCCAAGCAACUUUUUAGGCUGCCUCAGUCCCUGAUUUGGAUUGUUUUUAUGGCAAGCACACCUUAGCUUUUCAUAUGCAAAGAGAAAGAAAUGCCAGAGAUCUCUGUUAAAAAAAAACCUAUUUUAAUAAUGAAUAUUAACAGUAGGUAAAAAAAAUGCCUAACUUGAAGCUGUUCUACUUUUCCAGGUAUUCACCACAGCAGAUGAAACGAAUCAAAUUUGCUGUCAAUUUGCUUUUGAGUCACACAGUUGAUAUAAUUUAAGAUGGUGUCACGUAUACUUUAUGUACUGCCAAAGUUAAAAAUGUUACUUGUAAAACAGACUCCUAAUUUACAUGCUAAUAACUGCAAAAUGCUAUUUUCAGAUUCUGAGUUCCACAGAAAUAUUGUUUUGUUUGUUUGUUUAAACUUCAAAUCUCCCAGAUAGAAAUCCUGGGCAGGACAGUUAGAAUUUAAAUCUAGAUUUUCUAAUAGCAUUCUUCAUACUAGAGCACUUGCAUCUGUUCUUAAUUCACAUUUGCAGAUUUCUUACAAGCAGUGAAACAAUAUGGCCUGCAAUCAAUGGUAAAUCCAAGGGACUGUUUGCUAGAUCUAUAUGUAUAAAUUAAAUUCAGUUGAAAGAGCCAUGUUUCUACCUGAAGUUAAUAGUAACUAUACCAAAGAAUCAUGAAUGUGAUUUAGAACCUUAAUACUACCUUUGUCAGUUAUACAUAUAAUUUUUAUUCAGAAACAACAUAUUAAGAUUAUAUAUGGCUAUAUAUGGGAAUAUACGCUAAUUCAAACCAAAUAAGAAAAGCAGAGAAACACCAGUAGCAUGCUUUUGAAUCUAUAUUGUGCUCAAACCUAAUUACCCUUUCACAGACAUCAGACAUGGAAAAGUCCCAUCAAGUGAGUAUAUCCAUUCCACUAUAAGAUUUUUUUCCCCUGCAAUAUAUUUAAUGAUUUUCAUGAUUUAAAUGACUCCAACUAUG